CAGAAAUAAUCUUGUUUUUAGGAUUUAUACUAGAGUCCUCAGAUGUAGAUCAAUAAAGAAAUUAACAUGGCACUUUAAGCACAAAUAUACGUGUAUUUUAGAAAGGAGUGGCAGUCCUUACCUCACGGAAGCUUGUUUUUUCUCUUUGUAGAUGGAUGUCACCAGUGGGUUGUGCUGGAACUUCACCAACAAGAUGAGGUCACUGAAGAAGGUUCUGCAAGCUUUUCAUAAGUGGAGUAAAAUCCUGAUGUUGAUAUUCUACUAUACUUGCAAAAUGAAAUAAUUGAUAAGAAAUGUCCUAGGCCUUCACAUUUCCCCACCACUCACUCACUGAGGUGUCCACAGCAACUUCUAGUCCCUCAAGCUCCAUUCAUGGUAAGUGCCUUUUACAGCUGUACCAUUUUUAGCUGUACUUUUAGUGUAUUUUCUCUAUGUUUAGGUAUGUUUAGCUGCUAACACUGUUUUAUAAUUUUGCCUACUGUAUUCAGGAUAGUAACAUGCUGUACAGAUUUGUAGCAUGAGAGCAAUAAGGCUAUACAAUAUUAUCAUCAGGCUACAGAGAAAUACUGUAUAUUACACAGUAAAAGAACCAGCAACAUAAAUUAAGAAAAAGUUGUAUUUUAAAG
rnacentral:lncRNA from 1 species